rnacentral:tRNA from 1 species
GAGGGUAUAGCUCAGUGGUAGAGCACAUGCUUAGCAUGCACAAGGUCCAGGGUAUAAUCCCCAGUACCUCCA